AGAUGGAUCAUUCAUAUAGUGUCGCUUGAACUGUGGUAUUACUGAGAAAUCGUAUUUGGUUAUGGUGUCUUAAACGAAUAGAAAGCUUACCGGUGUCAUCUGACGUGCAUGUGGUCCACUGCGGCAACUGAACGACAUGUGACUUGAAGUGUAACAACUGAACGAUGUGGUGACAGUGUAACAACUGAAUGCAAGUGGUGACAGUGCAACAACUGAAUGCAAGUGGUGACAGUGUAACAACUGAAUGCAAGUGGUGACAGUGCAACAACUGAAUGCAAGUGGUGACAGUGCAACAACUGAAUGCAAGUGGUGACAGUGCAACAACUGAAUGCAAGUGGUGACAGUGCAACAACUGAAUGCAAGUGGUGACAGUGCAACAACUGAAUGCAAGUGGUGACAGUGCAACAACUGAAUGCAAGUGGUGUCUACUAAGCGAACAGAAAGUUUAACGGUUAAGUCGUGUAAAAAUCUGUCAUAGUGCAUGUGGUCGGUCGCUCUAACUUUUAAGAGACAAGUCUAUUUACGCCUCUCAGCGAUGGAUGUCUCGGAUCUCGUAACGAUGAAGAACGCAGCUAGCUGCGAGAUGCAGUGUGACAUGCGAACUUCUGUGAAUCAUUAGAUUUUUGAACGCAAAAGGUACUUCUAAAUUCUUUUAGGAGUAUGUUCACUUCAGUGCUUUUAUAUAUUUGUUAACCUAAUGGGUGGUUAACGUGAAUAGUUGCUGUGAUUGCGGUAACUGCAAGCUAAUGAUAAUGGUUUUUAGGUGACGCUUAAAAGACCGUUAUUGUAUUAUUAAUAAGCCUGAAUUUGAGCAAGUGUACCCGCUGAACUUAAGCAUAUUAUUAAGCGGAGGAAAAGAAACUAACUAGGAUUCCCCUAGUAACUGCGAGUGAACAGGGAAGAGCUCAAACUGGAAAUCGGCAGUUUACUGUCGAAUUGUAGUCUCACGAAAUGCAGCCUGUAGAUGUUGUGAGUUAAGUCUCUUGGAAAAGAGUACCAAAGAGGGUGAAAGUCCCGUCUUUAUUCACAACUAUUUACUUUCGGUGCAUUUUCAAAGAGUCGCGUUCCUUGAGAUUGGAGCGCUAAGUGGGUGAUAAACUUCAUCUAAAGCUAAAUACUAACGAGAUUCCGAUAGCGUACAAGUACCGUGAGGGAAAGUUGAAAAGAACUUUGAAAAGAGAGUUAAAAGGAACUGAAAUUGCUGAAAGGGAAGUGGAGAGAUUCAACGGUUUAGCGAAUCUUCUGCAUGCUUGGAUAUUGCAUCCUUCAGUGUGUAGUCGAGAUUUGCGGUGACUCUGGAAGCGAUUGUACAAGCAGAUUACAUCAUUGAUAGGUUCUAUAAUUAGGGCCAUGUCUUUGAUGUCUUCAGUCUGUGUGAUCUAUGUAAUUCUAACUCAGCAUUAAUUGUCGAGUUAUACUCUUCCAGACAUGUUGAUUCUCUCCUCCCCGUCUUGAAACACGGACCAAGGAGUCUACUUUAUGUGCAAGUACAAGGGUGGAAAACCUAUGUGCGAAAUGAAAGUAAUAGUUAGGAUGGUUAUACCUGCACUAACACUCGGCCACUGAGUCGAAGUUGAGCACAUAGAAUAGGACCCGAAAGAUGGUGAACUAUGCCUGAGUAGGGUGAAGCUAGAGGAAACUCUGGUGGAAGCUCGUAGCGAUACUGACGUGCAAAUCGUUCGUCAAACUUUGGUAUAGGGGCGAAAGACCAAUCGAACCAUCUAGUAGCUGGUUCAAUC
rnacentral:misc_RNA from 1 species